GAACCGAUACCAACAGGGUCCGGGGGUUACCUCCUUAACGAAGAUUCCCUAUCCCGACCGUUCAUCACUGUGUGUGCUCCUAGAGGUGUGAGUAUGGGGUGGUACCAAGCAGAGAGACUAAGGGCAGGAGAGGGUUGACGGUUUUUGGGAAGAGUAGAGACUCUGAGCUGCAUCAUAGUCUAAUCUUUCUGAUACAUUCAGAUCCAACACCUACGGGUACUAAACAUAGGUUACCGUUGUCAUUGAGAAGAAGUAAAAGAUAAACUAUAUAAUACACUGAUGAGUGACGUACAGAAUAAGGAAUCAAAGAAGAUCAAGAUGUAGAAUUUAAGGUAAACAUUAAACAAUUUCCUGGGGAAGCAGACAACUGUACAGGAAUUGGGGUUGGCCAGAUUGUACUCAGCCAACCCACCUCGGUUCACCUAAAUUCUGGAUGAAUACCAGUGUUAUAGAUACAAGAAUGGUACCAAGAACUAAGAUGAUUUUAAUGGCUGAAAGUAAUCGUUAAUGUGACUAACUUAGGUUUGAGAGAUGAAUAGAACAUUCUUAACCUCACAGCACCUAUAACUGAUGAAGGGUGGGCUAGUACCAGCAAAGGACGCAUACGACAGAAAUUACCACAAAGGGUGGUUAGGAAUUGCACCCUGGGGUUAUUGGUCUAACCAGUUCGAGUUAGUCAUCAGAGGCCAGUUGUAGGAGGCUAAAGAAGGUACAGGAGGAGUUUUGAUCAGGAUGGGAUUAGCUUUGUCUAGAUGGAUGCUAUUGGCAUCCUCAGGGAGGUUCCAGAUGAAUACAAAGUUAUGAAUCAAAUAUGUGAAGGCUUUAACACUACAUUAUGUUGGUAGUUGACAAUAAAUAAUAAUGUGGAUUGAAUUAAUGACAUAUUUUAAUCAACAGAGAUUCAUGAAUGAAACAGGGGAUGCAGUAAAGAGGUUCUCUGACCAAUUAUCCGCCACCUCCCUCAUGACCUGGUAAAAUAGACUGACUCUCGAUAGGUUACGGGCAAAGAGGAUGGUGUAGGUAGAAUGAUUAAGUUCAUUGCUGUACGUAAAUUUUUGAUAACACAGCUCAUGUUUGGGAAAUGGAAAAGUGUUGCAAGAACUGUAUUAUGGGCUGCUUUCACCUGUAUGAGUGUGUUUGGGUUGUGUGGUUGUUGUUUGGUCCCGUGUGCAAGAGGUUUAAUCACCAGAACUCUAGAGAGAUGAUAACGGAGCAGAUGGUGAGCUACGGACCGAGUCAAAGUUCAGAUCAAUGAGAUGACAAGUACCUACCGCCGAGCAAGAUUGUUCUUUUUUGUCACGUCUUGCAGACGUGAAGAGGGGGAUUUGUAAUAAAGAUAAUCUAACGUUUUACCUAA